UUCCUUUUUACCUCAGAUUAGGAGUGGUCGGUUGGUUAUCGUUACCACUAUUCAUUACCAGUAACCGGCGCUUUGUAAUUUAUAACGGUAAAAUGUCAUUAAAUUUAUUAUAUCCAGAUAACAUAACGGAGGAUUAUCUACGUCAUCAAUUUUAUUUCAAAUAUUUAACGGGUUUCCGGAUGCCGAACCUCAAUGUACUAAAACCGGCCACGUGGUUAUGUCACAUACUACCCAAUUUUGAU